rnacentral:rRNA from 1 species
AUUGAACGCUAGCGGGAUGCUUUACACAUGCAAGUCGAACGAGUGGCGGACGGGUGAGUAAUAUAUCGGAACGUGCCCAGUAGCGGGGGAUAACUACUCGAAAGAGUGGCUAAUACCGCCUACUUUUGGAUCGGCCGAUAUCGGAUUAGCUAGUUGGUGGGGUAAAGGCUCACCAAGGCAACGAUCUGUAGCUGGUUUGAGAGGACGGCAAGGCACACUGGGACUGAGACACGGCCCAGACUCCGACGGGAGGCAGGAGGGGGGAAUUUUGGGCAAUGGGGGAAAACCUGAUCCAGCCAAGCCGCGUGUUGGAGAAGGCCUUCGGGUUAUGAAGUCCUUUUAGCAGAGAAGCGGUAUCUGCAGAAUAAGCAACGGCUAACUACGUACCAACAGCCGCGGUAAUUC